rnacentral:misc_RNA from 1 species
CGGAAGCCAUGUCUGCCUCCGCGGCUUCUCUCACGCUCUCAUCCCUAACCCUCAACACCCUAUCUCUUUCUAACCCUAAAAUCAAACUCUUCUCUCUCAAUCCUUCUUCAAUUCGCCUUCUUUCAAAUCCCAUUUCCAUUUCUUCUGCUGUUCUUCGUUCUCAUAGGGUUUCUUCUCCCUUCUCCUCUCGUUUUGUCCGAAAUGUCGCCGUUUCAUCCGAUUACGACCAGGAAGAAGACACUCUUGAGGCCGAUGGAGACGAAUCUAG